rnacentral:rRNA from 1 species
CAGCCGCCGCGGUAAUGCGUAGGGUGCGAGCGUUAAUCGGAAUUACUGGGCGUAAAGCGGGCGCAGACGGUUACUUAAGCAGGAUGUGAAAUCCCCGGGCUCAACCUGGGAAUUGCGUUCUGAACUGGGUGGCUAGAGUGUGUCAGAGGGGGGUAGAAUUCCACGUGUAGCAGUGAAAUGCGUAGAGAUGUGGAGGAAUACCGAUGGCGAAGGCAGCCCCCUGGGAUAGCACUGACGUUCAUGCCCGAAAGCGUGGGUAGCAAACAGGAUUAGAGACCCCUGUAGUCCCUGUCUCUUAUAA